GACGAACCGUCCAAACGUUAUUCGGAAUUACUGGGCUUAAAGGGUGCGUAGGCGGUGCUACAAGUCGGGUGUGAAAUCCCUCAGCUUAACUGAGGAACUGCGCCCGAAACUGUAGUGCUGGAGUAAGGCAGGGGUGAGCGGAACUGAUGGUGGAGCGGUGAAAUGUGUUGAUAUCAUCAGGAACACCGGUGGCGAAGGCGGCUCACUGGGCCUUUACUGACGCUGAGGCACGAAAGCUAGGGGAGCAAACGGG
rnacentral:rRNA from 1 species